ACCCAAAGAGCGAAAGCACAAAAGAGGAGGAAGAGCAUUCGUACGGGUUCAUAUACACAAGAUGAGGACAAGUUGAUUUGCCAAAGUUGGAUGAAGAUUAGCCAAGAUCCGAGGACCGGCGCGCAACAAAAGAGCCUUGUUUUUUGGACUAGAGUCCACAAAACAUUCCAUGAAAGGAAGAUGUUUGAGCCCUACCAAAUUACAAGCAACUGUGGCAUCACCUCGAUUCAAAAUAGGUGGUUGUUCAUCCAACAAGAGUGCAACAAGUAUUGUGCCGCAUUUGAGAGCGUUGAAGCACGGCCCGUGAGUGGUCUCGGUGUUGGGGACAUGGUAUGCUCUCCUCAUCCUAGUCCUUUCCUUGCUACGGCCAUGAGACUUCGGCCUGUAUAUGUUUGCAUGUUCAAUUGUUGUUGA
rnacentral:rRNA from 1 species